CUUUUUAAAGGUAAGAAAUGGAAGCGAGAGCACUUCGCCACUGCUUGGCAAGUACUGUGGGACUCUGCUGCCAAAUCCCAUUUUCUCUCAGAGUCGUGACCUGUACCUGCGGUUUAAGAGCGAUAGUGCAACUUCGGGUCGUGGCUAUGAAAUCAUCUGGACCUCAUCACCCUCUGGCUGUGGCGGGACUCUUUAUGGAGACAGCGGCUUGGUCACCAGCCCUGGCUAUCCCGGCACUUACCCCAACCACACUCACUGCGAAUGGGUCAUCAUUGCUCCUGGUGGAAGACCUGUCACUGUCAGCUUUUCCUUUAUCAGCAUUGACGACCCCGGAGAGUGUGUCCAGAACUACCUCAUGCUCUACGAUGGACCUGAUGCAAAUUCUCCAUCCUCUGGACCAUACUGUGGCGCAGACACGGACGUAGCUCCCUUCGCGGCCUCCUCCCAUCGGGUCUUCAUCAGGUUUCACGCCGAGGCGGCGGCCCGGCCGUCGGCGCUCCGCUUGACCUGGGCCAGCUGAAUGGCCUGGGGCGGCCCUGGUUCGUCCCGCGGGGGCCGGGCCCUCAGACCUCAGGCUGGACAGAAUUCUGCCGCCCUGAUCCCUGACCCCCUAGCCUGUGCCACGGAGAAGAACGUGUGUGCUGUUCAUCAAAGUUGGGGAAUCAGUGUUUGUGUGUACUUUUUGAACGUGGGAUGUAGCUUCUUUAGUCUCAUACUUUGAGCCAGAAUUGUCUAAAACCCCUUUAAGAGUUGGAAAUGAGUAUGGCUUAUGUGCGGUACAUUUUCAAAAGUUAAUUAAACAGGAUAAGUACGAUGUUCAGGGUCAGUGUCAAAUCGGGGGUGAUAAACUGUUGAAAUUAAGCC
rnacentral:lncRNA from 1 species